rnacentral:lncRNA from 1 species
CGGCGUGUGCAAGGCUGGCGGUCGUCUUUGUCGUUGCCAAUGUGUCUCUCUGGUUCCGUGACGUCACCCUCGGUCCUCUUGCGCCGUGCCUUAUUCUUUUUUUUUCCUUUGUCGGGCUCUCUGUCUCUUUUUUUCUCGCUUUUGCUGCGCGAUGGCUUUUGCUUUCUGUGUUUUUUUUCUAUUCGGUUUUUUUUGUUUGGUGAAUUGGCCCCGCGGGUGGCUUGGGUCUCGCGGUUGCGCCUGCGAGUACGGUGGAUGCGAGUUGCUUUUCUCUCUCUCUCUCUCUCUCUCUCUCU